rnacentral:rRNA from 1 species
AGAGUUUGAUCCUGGCUCAGAUUAAACGCUGGCGGCAUGCCUUACACAUGCAAGUCGAACGGCAGCACGGGGGCAACCCUGGUGGCGAGUGGCGAACGGGUGAGUAAAGCAUCGGAACGUGCCCUGGAGUGGGGGAUAACGUAGCGAAAGUUACGCUAAUACCGCAUAUUCUGUGAGCAGGAAAGCAGGGGAUCGCAAGACCUUGCGCUUUGGGAGCGGCCGAUGUCGGAUUAGCUAGUUGGUAGGGUAAAGGCCUACCAAGGCGACGAUCCGUAGCGGGUCUGAGAGGAUGAUCCGCCACACUGGGACUGAGACACGGCCCAGACUCCUACGGGAGGCAGCAGUGGGGAAUUUUGGACAAUGGGCGCAAGCCUGAUCCAGCCAUGCCGCGUGAGUGAAGAAGGCCUUCGGGUUGUAAAGCUCUUUCGGUGGGGAAGAAAUUGCACGGGUUAAUAGCCUGUGUAGAUGACGGUACCUGGAGAAGAAGCACCGGCUAACUACGUG